rnacentral:rRNA from 1 species
UACGAAGGGUGCAAGCGUUAUUCGGAAUCACUGGGCGUAAAGGGUGCGUAGACGGUUUGUUAAGUUUGUCGUUAAAGACUCUAGCCUAACUGGAGGGUUGCGAUGAAAACUGGCGGACUAGAGGGUGAGAGAGAGAAGUGGAAUUCCUGGAGUAGCGGUAAAAUGCGUGGAUCUCAGGAGGAACACCAAUGGCGAAGGCAGCUUCUUGGCUCAUUCCUGACGUUGAGGCACGAAAGCGUGGGGAGCGAACAGG